GGGGAAUAUUGCGCAAUGGGGGCAACCCUGACGCAGCCAUGCCGCGUGAAUGAAGAAGGCCUUCGGGUUGUAAAGUUCUUUCGGUAGCGAGGAAGGCAUUUAGUUUAAUAGACUAGGUGAUUGACGUUAACUACAGAAGAAGCACCGGCUAACUCCGUGCCAGCAGCCGCGGUAAUACGGAGGGUGCGAGCGUUAAUCGGAAUAACUGGGCGUAAAGGGCACGCAGGCGGUGACUUAAGUGAGGUGUGAAAGCCCCGGGCUUAACCUGGGAAUUGCAUUUCAUACUGGGUCGCUAGAGUACUUUAGGGAGGGGUAGAAUUCCACGUGUAGCGGUGAAAUGCGUAGAGAUGUGGAGGAAUACCGAAGGCGAAGGCAGCCCCUUGGGAAUGUACUGACGCUCAUGUGCGAAAGCGUGGGGAGCAAACAGGAUUAGAUACCCUGGUAGUCCACGCUGUAAACGAUGUCGAUUUGGGGGUUGAACUUUAGGUUUGGCGCCCGUAGCUAACGUGAUAAAUCGACCGCCUGGGGAGUACGGCCGCAAGGUUA
rnacentral:rRNA from 1 species